AGCCAUAAGUCUUUGUUUAUGGUUUGACCUGCCCAAUGUUUGAAGGAUCAAUGGCCGCGGUACCCUGACCGUGCUAAGGUAGCGUAAUCAGUUGGCUUUUAAAUGGAGUCAGGAAUGAAUGGGGAAACUGAGUUUAGCUGUCUCUUUUUUACUAUUUUGAAUUUACUGCUUAGGUGAAAAAGCCUAAAAUGAGAAGGGGGACGAGAAGACCCUUAGAAUUUUUUCUAAGAUGCGAAAUUUAAUCGCACUCAGAUUUUGUUGGGGCGACAUUGAAAUAUAUUAUAACUUUUAUAAUGUUUACAGGCCGAGAUUUUUUAAGAGUGGAUAAAUUACCUGAGGGAUAACAGCAUAAUUCUAAAAUUGAGUUUGUGACCUCGAUGUUGGACUAGGAAACUAUCAGGCUAGCCGCUUGUUGUGUUGGUUCUGUUCGAACUAAAAUUCCU
rnacentral:rRNA from 1 species